rnacentral:lncRNA from 1 species
AUAUAUCUGCUGACCCAGUUUUCUUGCCGGCAAUGUAAUAACAUUAGUUGGUUUGCUAUCUAUUUAUAUCUUUCUUACAUAUGCCUGAAUAUACUUAGUGGGCGAGUUGGCGGGGUCGGCGACCGAACCCACUAGAAAUUUCUUUUAGUUCUCACACCACUAAUCUUACAGAUCCUAGUGUGAGCGGGGCGACGGAGGAUCGAGGCAAGGGUAUUACGCCAUAGAUAACAGCGACCAGAGUUGUAGUCAUACCCUAUGUACAUUCAACUUUUGUUAUGUUGAAUAGUGAUGUAUAAAUGAUGUAAUAAUUCAUAUGUUUUGGUUGGAUGUAUCACGUGAUGUAAAAGAAUAUAAUAUAAGUAGAUAACUUGUAUUUGGUUUAAUUGUAAUCAAAUGACAUGUGUGGAUGUAUGUAGUAGCAUAGAUGCUUUCACUACUUGUUGUUGCUUGCCCUCGAGUAAGCCGUGUAUACUUGCAUUCUCCUUGUAUGAAUUGCUAUUGUUAUACAUGUGUUGAUGGAGCCUUGGGCAGACAGGGGAGGUGCUGUCCGUUCGACGUCUGUUGACGGACCCAAACCGACCAAAUUGGCGGUCGCGGGCGUGACAACAACUUACUCUAAGUUGUCAUGUUAGCAGUAGAACUAAUCCUAAUUUACAAACUUC